rnacentral:tRNA from 1 species
CGGGGCGUAGCGUAGGCCGGUUAUCGCGCCUGCUUUGGGAGCAGGAGGUCGCAAGUUCGAAUCUUGCCGCCCCGACAA